UUUGCCAAGACCUUUUGUUAGCUCCCUGCCUCGACUCUUGAUUCUCUGAGCUAGACCCUAAGAAGAGCGCGUUUAUUCUUAAAUGUCCUUUAAUGGCCACUUCAUUAGAACAGUCCAGUUAGGGCCCGUGAGCAUGGUUUCAUUGCAUUAUUGUUGGAGAAAAAGGUAUGUUAGCAGUUAGAGGAAGGCUUUCUGCUUAAGGAAAUAUUACCACCCCCCUCGCCUCCCCCAGGGGCAUGGAUACAUAGACAAGCAUAUGCAAAAACUUCUGCAAGGGAUUCAGCGUAUCAGUGAAUUCCAGGAAAGCUCCUGUGUAGUCAUAUAGCUCAGGGUGUGUCUCUAAGAAGAAGAAAGAAAAUGACCAGUGAGGAGUCAGCCUCUUUCUGGAAAGAGCUAAAAAUGGAUGAAAACAAAGACUGAAAGAAAAUCCCUCAGAACGUUAAUGAAGACUGUGCUUGGGUGAUGGAGUUGUGGACAGUUUAGUUUUCUGUGUUUCCGUAUUUUCGCAUUGUCUUGAGUGAGAUUUUAUUACUUUUGUAAUGGAAAAUAAACAUUAAAAAGGAAAAAAA